GCACCAGUGGUCUAGUGGUAGAAUAGUACCUGCCACGGUAUAGACCCGUGUUCGAUUCCCGGGGCUGGUGCA
rnacentral:tRNA from 1 species